CCUACGGGAGGCAGCAGUGGGGGAUAUUGCACAAUGGGGGAAACCCUGAUGCAGCGACGCCGCGUGUGGGAAGACGGUCCUCCGGAUUGUAAACUACUGUUCUAGGGACGAAGAUGACGGUACCUGGGGAGGAAGCUCCGGCUAACUACGUGCCAGCAGCCGCGGUAAUACGUAGGGAGCGAGCGUUGUCCGGAAUUACUGGGUGUAAAGGGAGCGUAGGCGGGGAUGCAAGUUGGGUGUCAAAACUACCGGCUCAACUGGUAGUCGCACUCAAAACUGCAGCUCUUGAGUGAAGUAGAGGCAGGCGGAAUUCCUAGUGUAGCGGUGAAAUGCGUAGAUAUUAGGAGGAACACCAGUGGCGAAGGCGGCCUGCUGGGCUUUUACUGACGCUGAGGCUCGAAAGUGUGGGGAGCAAACAGGAUUAGAUACCCGGGUAGUC
rnacentral:rRNA from 1 species